CGGAUGGGUGAGUAACACGUGGGGAACCUGCCCCUAAGUCUGGGAUACCAUUUGGAAACAGGUGCUAAUACCGGAUAAUAAAGCAGAUCGCAUGAUCAGCUUUUGAAAGGCGGCGUAAGCUGUCGCUAAGGGAUGGCCCCGCGGUGCAUUAGCUAGUUGGUAAGGUAACGGCUUACCAAGGCGACGAUGCAUAGCCGAGUUGAGAGACUGAUCGGCCACAUUGGGACUGAGACACGGCCCAAACUCCUACGGGAGGCAGCAGUAGGGAAUCUUCCACAAUGGACGCAAGUCUGAUGGAGCAACGCCGCGUGAGUGAAGAAGGUUUUCGGAUCGUAAAGCUCUGUUGUUGGUGAAGAAGGAUAGAGGUAGUAACUGGCCUUUAUUUGACGGUAAUCAACCAGAAAGUCACGGCUAACUACGUGCCAGCAGCCGCGGUAAUACGUAGGUGGCAAGCGUUGUCCGGAUUUAUUGGGCGUAAAGCGAGCGCAGGCGGAAAAAUAAGUCUAAUGUGAAAGCCCUCGGCUUAACCGAGGAACUGCAUCGGAAACUGUUUUUCUUGAGUGCAGAAGAAGGAGAGUGAAACUCC
rnacentral:rRNA from 1 species